rnacentral:rRNA from 1 species
AUUGAACGCUGGCGGCAGGCUUAACACAUGCAAGUCGAGCGGGGUGAUGGUGCUUGCACUAUCACUUAGCGGCGGACGGGUGAGUAAUGCUUAGGAAUCUGCCUAUUAGUGGGGGACAACAUCUCGAAAGGGAUGCUAAUACCGCAUACGUCCUACAGGAGAAAGCAGGGGAUCACUUGUGACCUUGCGCUAAUAGAUGAGCCUAAGUCGGAUUAGCUAGUUGGUGGGGUAAAGGCCUACCAAGGCGACGAUCUGUAGCGGGUCUGAGAGGAUGAUCCGCCACACUGGGACUGAGACACGGCCCAGACUCCUACGGGAGGCAGCAGUGGGGAAUAUUGGACAAUGGGGGGAGCCCUGAUCCAGCCAUGCCGCGUGUGUGAAGAAGGCCUUAUGGUUGUAAAGCACUUUAAGCGAGGAGGAGGCUCUUUUGGUUAAUACCCAAGAUGAGUGGACGUUACUCGCAGAAUAAGCACCGGCUAACUCUGUGCCAGCCGCCGCGGUAA